rnacentral:tRNA from 1 species
GAAUUAUGUAAGUCAAAGUAAAGCUUCUAACUUAAACUUUUAAUAGUGCAAUCUAUUAAUAAUUCU